rnacentral:sRNA from 1 species
CCAGCCGCUGAUGAAGGGCUGGCCUUGCUGGAGGCACCGUCUUUCGGCGCUUCCGUACCCCCAUGUUGCUUCAAGGAGGAUAUGGCUAUGGCAA